CCCCAUACUUCUAGUCCAUGUAAAACACAAAACACCAAACACCAAACCCCUCUAUUCCUUUCACGUAAAAACCAAAAAAAAAAAAAAAAACCCAAAACCUCUCCUCUAUUCCAUUCACGUGAACCAGGGAAACACUCAAACAUUUUGCUCCUUCUUGCGCAGCCGCCGGCCAACCGCCACACCGGACCACCGACCGUCGGUCCUCCCCUUCCCCGCCACACCACCAUCAUCCACCAUCAACCGGACACCACCACCACCACCAGUCGCGCAGCCACCGCGCCGUGGUGUUGCUACCGCGCCCUCCACGCACAGCAGCGCUCGUGCCCCUUCUCUUCGUGUUCGUCCUCCCUUCUUCGCGUCAUUGCAGCAACCUUCCAGCCACGAUUUUGUUGCCGCCGCCAACCACCUUGCACAGCACUGCCGCCGCCGUCCUUUCCUCCGGCCGGCGCCCCCUCACUCUCUUCUCUUGUGGCGGAGAAUUCUCUUUAGGCGACUUUUGAAAGUGUUAAAGUGGCCUAUUAGUUUGUUUACACGAGUCUCUAAGGAUCAAUAAGCGUUUCCCAUCUACAGGUUUGAAGAUGAUGCAUCAUUGGGAUCGGGAUUAGAGAGCUUGUAUUUAGUUUUGUUUUGCUAAGUGACUUGGUUUGUUAAUUUGUACUUUAAACUUGUCGUACUAUUUAUAAUUUCUUAUUUUCGUUGGUUGGCUUUUGGGAUUAAACCUGUAAUCGAUUAUUUAUAAACCUAAAGUUAGUUUUAUGUUUUCCGCUGCAAAAUUAUGAAUAAGCAGUUACGUUUUCACA